rnacentral:miRNA from 1 species
GCAGCAGAAUAUCCCUGCCAUU